UUUCAUCUUCUCUCUACUUGUGUCUUUUCUUUAAGGGCUUUUGUUUUCCUUCCUAAACUAUUGUUCAGUUCCUUCUUACAGGCUUUCCAUGUCCCCUUUACAUUCUCUUCUCUCUCAGUUCCCCCAGAUAACAGGUAGUUUUUCCUUGCACUGACCCUGAAGCCUUCUAGAAGACUGCAUUUUAAAGCCCUGGCACCUCUUCAGUUCCAGGGUCUUCUGGGUUUUGCUGCUUGCUCCUGUAUGGAUCUUGGGAAGCGGCAGAUGGGACAUCUUUCUCCACUGUCGUGGCUGUCUGUACCUGAUCCAGAGAGCAUUCCCUCCAAGGUCUGCAUGGAAGCUAAUUUGGAGAAUCCGUGAUAUAUACAGUAGGAAAACUCCCCGAACACCGGCACAUAAACUCCGCUGCGUGGGUUCAUUUGGAAAGUACGUCCUUAAAGGUUUGAAAUCCUAUGAGCUCACUUCCAUUGUAUUUUGUGUCUCCAGCCCAAAUGUUCUAGAUAUUCCUGUAUUUAAUUAGUGAAUAUGAAAUAAUGAUGUCACGGUGGUUGGAAAAAUGAGGAAAUAGAACUGGAAUCACUUCAAUUUUGUCAGUUUAUAUGAUCACUUAUGUUUUGAUUUUGUAAAUUUAAAACAUGUAAAUAGAGUGUAAGGUAUACAUUUUUUUUGGUUAAUGAAAAUAUUAAUUCAUACAUGGACUA